UUUACAUUUAGUUUGAAUCAAACUCAACAUGGUGCAUAUUUUGGAUUAGGCGGGAACAUGAAGCCGUCGAUGCUUCCCCAGCGGAGGCCGAGUCUCCUCACCGCCUCAGAAAGACGCAGGGCUGAAAAAAGGCGACCAGGUACCGAACCAGAUACGUAGCUGCUCUGAAUGUGAAGAAAAUGAGGCAGAAAACGCAGCUGAAACCAGAGAAAAUAGGAACAUUUCUUAGAAAUAGUUUUGCUUUCUUCACUAGCUGUGUUUCCAUCAACCAACCGAGCAAAUGGAAAUUACAAAAAUAAAUUUGAUGAAUGGAAACAAGCCAAUUUCAAAAAACUUUUUUCACAACACACGAGUCACGUGAUCAACAGCUGGAUGCUACUACUGCCAUAAACGACAAAGACAACAGGAAGUGGCAGGAGGAUGAUGGAUGGUAUUUGGAUCCACCAAAACUCUCAGAAUCACACAUUUCAUAAAAAGUUGUGUCUCAUUUGAAGGUGAUGAAUCCAUAACUUACGUAAAAUCACAGACUACAAUUUCCACAAAAAGCAGCAAAUAUCGCCGCUCCACAGUGACGUGCGGUGAGGUUCAAUGCUGGUGAGGCACUGACUUAUGAUUUAAGACACCAUGCAUGUUAUUAGACCUACGGAAAUUUCGCGCAUGCAUAUGUAACCCAGGUUAACAUAAUCUUCACUAAAUGUAAGCCUUUUCAUACAAAUAGCUAUAAAAUAGAUAAGUAGGACAUAAAUAGAUAAAUAGGAGAAUAAAUAGAGAAUAAAAAGGUCUUAAAACAGUUAAAAAUAUAAAGUAAUAAUUACAGGCACCAUAAGUGUUGUAUUUCAUGUUGUUAUUUUAUUUGGUUAAAAACCUGCAUAAAACAGCUUUAUUUUGUCAGCAGCUGAAAAGGUCAAGUGUGAGAUAAAUAAUCUCUUAUUCUGAAGGGUCACAUUGAUGUGUAGCCCAUGUGACUAGCUCCAGCCAACCGGAUUGCUAUGUUCUCGCGCCAGAAGAAGAAGAAGCAGAGAGAGCAAAGACGAAGCAAAGAACAAAGAAGCUAAGAGAGUUGUGCUGUGAACGAGAAAUAGAUAAGAGAAAUCGACAAAUAGAUAAGAGAAAUCGACAAAUAGAUAAGACAAAUCGACAAAUAGAUAAGACAAAUCGACGAAUAAAAACAUUUUUUCCAUUUUUGGAGAAGGAGCGUUCUGCACUUUUCAACCUGACUGCGUUCGGGAUUGUGUUAUAUGUUACAGAACUGGACGUGGCCUUUUUGAGGUUCUGCUGGAAAUUGGACUGGGAAAUUCCGAGUCGAUUGCUGAGUUGGAUUCAGCUAGUGAGAAACAAGAUGGCGAGCCGUAAGCCAGGAGCCCUGUAACCGUCUAGCAGGAGCUGCGCCCUCUGCUGGAUACUGAAAUUCAUCCAAACUCGUAUGACCUGCCCAUGUUUCAUGCUGAAAUAGCAGUAGAUUCAGAGAAACGGGUUUGCCCUUCAGGAUCAUCAGAGAGAAAAGACAUCGAAUUGAAGCACAAGUUAUUCGGUCUUUUGCUGAAUUGUGUCUGUUGUGUUUUGUUGGUUUUUUCUUUGAACCACAUUCAGUGUCUGUUGCAGUGUGUAGAAUGUGAAAUUGUUGGGUUAAAAUAGAAUUAAGAAACGGUUAAAACAGGAAAUUAAAAAACUAACUUUUUAAAAGAACACUAAACUAAAAUAUAUUUUAAAAGAUUAAAACAAACUGUAAAUUAAAUAGAUUAACAGUAUAAAUUGAACUUAAAUAGAACUAUAACCUAGGUUUAAAUAAAUAGUAUCAUUUAAUACCUAAUAAUAGGUUUAAAUUUCAAAGAAGGGAUUAAAUAAAUCAUUCUAAAGAAAUAGGGGAACUAUUUUCUAAUAAAUUUGUGUCAUUGUAUGUCAACUGUUUGUAUAAUUGUUGUUUAUUUUCUUAUCCAACUAAAAUAAUAAGCCGGCAGUUUAAACUUG